CUCCCUCUCUAAUUAAACAUGGGAGAAAAUAUGGUUCUUAAAAAAAGGCAUCCACAUCCAUCUUACAAAUGUUCCCAUGUAAAUGAUUUAGAAUAGUGAGGAAUUGAACAGGAAAACACAACAGAAUCUCAGAUUCUCACAAAUGGAGCAGAAACACUACACAGCUCAGACUGAUCUGAAAUCUCAGGUACACAAAGGUUAGCUGAAACACACUACACAGCUUUAUCUGAACACUACAGGCAAGGCAACACACACAACACAGAAAACAACAGAGCUGGGACCAGAAGAUGGUAGUGUCUCUCAAAGAGCAAAGCCUCUGUCUCUCACUCGACUGUGUUCUCUGGGUUCCUCUGUACUCCACUUCAUGAGCUGGGAUGGGAAUCAGGUGGCAGUCAAGCAGGUGUCACAGAUUAAAUGAAGAGCGAAUCAGCAGUUGAUGUCCAUGUAUUUAUUUCACCAACAACACAACACAGACAACAGCAGUUAGACAGCAGGAGAAGAAAGAGCAACACAGAAGAACACACACAGAAGAAUCAGGAUCAGGUUCAGUUGUUGAAGCUUUUAGUUGUCAGGAUGUUGCAGGCUGUUCCGUUCAAUUGGCUUCCCUCUUCCCAACUGUAAUUGCAUGUAUAUAUGUUGAUGUGAAUAUAUUGGCUGUGCACUGAAAUAAACUAGAUUAACACACUACAGACAUAUUUGAGCUUUGUCAGCAGCACUGAGCAGAGGUUUAUCACUGUAUCAGACAAUCCACAUUAGAUUAAACAACAAUAGCAAGCAAGGAAAAUAAUGAGUUAUAUAAUAAAUGAUUAAAUACAUGAACAAAGAUUAUAUGAUUCAAUGAUUAACAUUGUUCUUAAAGAUCCACACACACAGAGGUUGCUAUUAAGAAUCAUUAGAUCCUGCAUCAGCAUCUCAGGAUUCAUCCACUGGAGCGAGAGAUUUUACAGUUCAUGUGUGUAAAAGUGUGUAAAAGUGUGUAAAAGUGGGCAAACGCACCUCACAUUCCCUGACUCUGACAACCACAUUUUGCUGUAAGUUUGAUCGCAUAAUUGCUGUUAAUAGUGUUAAUCGUCUGUUUGUUUACGUCUUUUAUUGAUUUUUCUGAACAUUUCUGCCGUAUACACAUAAACUGACAGUCAUCACUGAUAAGCUACUACUAAAUAUUGUAGAAACUUAAUUUUCUGUAAAGUUGCUUUGCAAUGAUUUGUAUCGUAAAAAGCACUAUACAAAUAAACUUGAAUUGAAUUGCAUUGAAUUGACUCUCAGCACUGGGGCGCAGCAGGGCUUAUAUACCAACAACUGCAUUUCCAAACAUCCCUCUGUAAAGCUCCUAAAUGUUUCAAAUGAUUUUGCAGAUGUCCUGAAUGAGUCUACAUACAGACUGGAGGAGGAUCGUCUGGUGUCCCGGGGCAGAUCUAACAACCUGAAGCUGAACACUUAAAGACUGUGGAUUUCAGGAGAUCCUCCACAACACACC